GGCCCAGACUCCUACGGGAGGCAGCAGUGAGGGAUAUUGGUCAAUGGGGGAAACCCUGAACCAGCAACGCCGCGUGAGGGAAGACGGUUUUCGGAUUGUAAACCUCUGUCCUCUGUGAAGAUAAUGACGGUAGCAGAGGAGGAAGCUCCGGCUAACUACGUGCCAGCAGCCGCGGUAAUACGUAGGGGGCGAGCGUUAUCCGGAUUCACUGGGUGUAAAGGGAGCGUAGACGGCCAUGCAAGCCAGGGGUGAAAGCCCGGGGCCCAACCCCGGGACUGCCCUUGGAACUGCAUGGCUGGAGUGCGGGAGGGGCAGGCGGAAUUCCUGGUGUAGCGGUGAAAUGCGUAGAUAUCAGGAGGAACACCGGCGGCGAAGGCGGCCUGCUGGACCGCGACUGACGUUGAGGCUCGAAAGCGUGGGGAGCGAACAGGAUUAGAUACCCUGGUACC
rnacentral:rRNA from 1 species